AGCAGCCGCGGUAAUCCCAGCUCCAAUAGCGUAUAUUAAAGUUGUUGCAGUUAAAAAGCUCGUAGUUGAAUUUCGGGAUUGGCGCAUCGGUCGUGCCUUACGGGGUAUGAACUGGUGCAGUCAAUUUCUCACCUUCUGGAGAACCGCGAUGUCCUUAAUUGGGUGCCGCGGGGAACCAGGACCUUUACUUUGAAAAAAUUAGAGUGUUUAAAGCAGGCAUUUUUGCUUGAAUACAUUAGCAUGGAAUAAUAAAAUAGGACGGCAUGGUUCUAUUUUGUUGGUUUCUAGGACCACCGUAAUGAUUAAUAGGGAUAGUUGGGGGCAUUAGUAUUCAAUUGUCAGAGGUGAAAUUCUUGGAUUUAUUGAAGACUAACUACUGCGAAAGCAUUUGCCAAGGAUGUUUUCAUUAAUCAAGAACGAAAGUUAGGGGAUCGAAGACGAUCAGAUACC
rnacentral:rRNA from 1 species